UUUGCUGCAAAAUUAAGAAGCAUGUGUGACAAAGUGUCCAGAAGAACUAUGGUUGGAAGAUGCUCUGUAAAACCUCGUGUGUAUGUGUGUAUAUAUAUAUAUAUAUAUAUAUAUAUAUAUAUAUAUAUAUAUAUAGUUUAUUGUCAAAAACUGUCUGUCCUUAAUGAGUGAGUUCUGUCCUUAAACUUACAAGGUAACCAAAUGAAACCAAAAUAGCUCAUAGCUGUGCAAUUAUUAUUAUUAUUAUUAUUAUUAUGCUUUUUACUUGUUUUUAUUUUCCCUCUAUAAGGUAUUGAUAUCCUUUGCCUGUUCCCUGAAAAUGUCACCCUCCUUCUCACCCUCCUCUUCGUCAUCCCAGAACUUGGGAAUCAGGGGCUGUGGAGAUUCUUCCUUCCCUGCGAUGGAUUACAGCGCAAUGCAGAAGAAUGUGAAUUAAUUAUCAGAUGGGGUUCAGUGAGUCCAUAUGGAGAGAAACAGCAGGACUGAUGAGCACAUCACCUGGGUUCAGGGUUUGGGCUAUCAAGUGUGAACAGGAACAAGGGGACUUCCCAGCCCUGCCCCCCUACAUAACUCAUUGCAGUCAUGGUGCUCUCCUUAGGUUUGGUGAUGGAUGACACUGAUCACCUCCUGAAAAAGAGCCAUCCUUGCUCAGUCUGCUGACUGAUAGUAGUUCCUGUAAACUAGCUCCUCUCACUGUGAACAGCUGGCAUAAUAGAGGAAGAUUACAAACUGGUGGCACAAAAGACAGUUUUAAGCACAAAAGAGUGAAGAUCACGGACACUGGCAACAAUGAUGCUUUCAAAGUUAGGACAAAGCUCAUCAGAGGACACUCCAGGUCAAAUAGAUUGAAAUACAUUCAAGUCCUGUACAGAGAAGUGCGAGUGAAUAAUUAUGUGAGCUGAUUAAAAUCCAUGCAACGAGU